GGGAGCUAGUGGAAGGGGAAAUGGAGUCCCCUGGCACUCAAAAAAAACCUCUCUCCCCUCUCUGUGGAGCAGGGUCCUUCCCUCUGCCCCUCAAAUUCCUUUAUCUGGGGCAGGAGCUCUUUCCCUCACACCCAUUCCCCUCCCCCCUUUCCUUGGUCUACCCCAUCCCAUUCCCCCUGCUCACAGGCAGAACUGUCCCUGCACCACAUGGUGCAGAAGGGCCGUUGUGUCAGGGCCACAGCCCCUAGUCCCACUGAAGCUCAGAAACCUCCACUUUUGAGGAGAUGUGGGGUGGGACAGAGGCUCAGGGCUAGCUUCACCUCCUGCCCUUUAUUCUCCCCUUGGCCCUCUAUGGGGUCUCUGGGUGUGAAAUGAAUAGGAGCUUCCUUCCCAGCUGUCUUCCAGCACAAGGGAUCUGUCACAGCAUCCCAGCCUGCAGCUGAGCCACCUCCGGGAGCAGUUGGGAAACGUCAUCUCGUCCCAUUAAAGCAAGCAGUGUUGAGCCUCCAAGAGGCUUAGAUGGAAGACCCCACUCCCUCAUGGAGGUAAGAACCAUUUACUCCUCGGGGCAUGUGGGUCUCUUGGGGGGAGAAAUGGGAUCCCCGAUGCAUAGCCUGGCUGGGAGCUUCCCCUGUCCCUCGCUCCCAGCUCUGGGACAGAGAUGUCUCUAUCAUCGUACCUCCCUGGUUUUGUUCCUUGGAAGGGGCUCCCCAGAGAUGUCCUCAAACCUGAACUCCUGAGAGCAUUUCCGGUAGGAGGCUCCAGCACCUUGGGCAUGAAGAAGAGAGAGCAUCAGGUAGUCUCAUUCACAUGACAUCUCCAGUCUCCAGCUCCAGCUUACAGCAGGGCAAAGGAACUCAUCAGCUCCCAGAAUCCCAACUUUGUGACCUUCUUCCGCUCAGCAGUGGGGUUUCUCCAGCCCCCUGACCACACCUGUCGGCCUCUGAAUGAUGAAGGGCCUGAAAGUCAGAGUCACCAGAACAAGCAAACUCCAGUUCCAGGCAGUGUAUUCAGCCCCUCUGGAAACCAGGUCUGAAAUGGGGAGCAAGGAUCCCAGCCCAGUAACAGUAGGAGUGGGCAGAAUAGGCCUGUAACAGGAUGCUUUCCCCUGGGCUGCACAGCCUGGGGCUUAGUGAAGCUGAUUACAGAAUGAGCCCUAACUAAGAGGCACCAUGUACCUCCCCCUAAAAUGCCAUACUUCAGUGGUAAUACAGCCCAGCUGGGGUAUCAACAGGAAUGAGAACGAGGUAGGAAGUCAGAGCAGCAAGGAAAGCCUAGAGGGGAACUUGAGAAGAGAGGUAGGAAGUGCCCAGGGAAAACUGCAGCAAAGAGAAAGGAGCAUCACCUAGCUGUUGGGUACAGGGCCCUGAGCUGCUACCAAUGUCAGGGUGGGACUGGGUUCCCCUACUGGCCCCAAAGAAGAGGGUGUACAUGCACCUGGAGUGGGUUACCAAGCCUAGCAAGGGGGCUGCAGGCUGAGCAAGAGCCCCAGCGAUGGCAGAAGGAUUUCUUUCUGUAGAAAGACCUCUUGGACUUUUAAUGUGGGACAAAUUGGGUACCAGAAGGGUGGACUAAAAGGGUGACCUGGCUGGAGGGCUGAGUUACGAGGCAGAGAAACUGCCAUGGUGUUGGAGUGACCAUUGACAGGGGAUGCUAGUCCAGCGAGAGAGCUGUGAUGUCAUGCCUGGCCACCAGGAGGGUACGUAACGAUGAGUAGAUUUGUUUAUGAUUGGCAUCGUCGGGAGGAUUGAAUUCCCCUGUGAUCCGUGAGGGCUGAUGAAAGUCUUGGUUGCUGAAGGAAGGUCUGUCCUCCCAAGCGGGUGUAUCGAGGGACCGAGCUGGUCACUGGAUUUCCCACUUCAGUCCCAGGGACUGGUUAAACAGCAAAAGCAGGUCUAGGGGUUUCUCCAGCAGCUCCUAGAAAACCAACAGAAGCAGAAGGAAAUGCAGGUGGAGCUACAGACACACCAGCAGCAAUACCUGUGAGAGACCUUGCAAAGGGAAAUCAACCCAGGGUCUGCUAUGGCCUUGGACUAAAAGAGCAGACAAGGAGAGUAUGCCUGGGCUGUGCUGAGAAAGUUCGCCUAGGAGAGCAGGGCAUGAGAAAGUAUACAAGCGUGGCCUAAUGCCAAGAUGGGGACAAGAGUUCUUUGUUUUGGGUGCAGAGAAGACAAAAGACACAGCCUGCUUAGGAAAUUGCUGAGUGGCAAAACGAGGUACCAGUGCCCCAAGAAGGUAGAAAUAAAGGAGGUGUCCUCUGACACAAACCCACAUGAGGCAGGCAACGUGGAGGUGGCAGGGAUGGCUGUGAACCUUGCAGAUCCUCCAUCAACACACCCUGUCGGGUGCUGCAGGCAGGUGAAGGACGAAGUGAUUGGCACAGAGAUGAAGCAGGCCAAGGGACAAACGCAAGGGUGGAGCAGUCCAUGGGGGGUUCUCGGACCCUGAUGGAAAAGGUUUUGGCGUAUGCGGCGGCAGUAGCAAAAAGGCUACAGAAGAAGCUAAAGGCUUCAGAACAGGCUCUGCAAGCAGUUGUUAAUGAGAAUGAGUGGCUGCAGGAAGAGCGUUGAGAUACUGCCUCUUAAUUCUGAUGAGCGAGCUGGCAGUGGAGCUGGAGACACUGCGUGCAGGCUGUACAAGCACACAGCCAGUGGCAGCGAUGAGAUGAUGAGGGAUGAAGCUUGGACAAGAAUAGAACUUGCCCCCCUUGUGGGCCAGAUUCUAAGGAGGAGGGUAUAUAACAGGGGGGCUUGGCCUGUGGGCUAUAAAACUGGGAGCUAGGCCAAAUGGAUUCCAGAGUGAGCUCCACCUGAGGGGAAAAACAAGGAAAACCGCAGCAAAGGUACAGGAGCUGGCCUAGCUGUUCGGUACAGGGUCUUGGGGCAGAACCUGGAAUCCAGGGUAGGACUGGUUCUCCCAUAGUCUCUAAGGAAGGGGAUGUACAAGGCCAUAGAAAGGGCUACCAAGGCCAACAAGGGCAGGCCUCAGCCUGAUUUUGGCUCGGAAGAUCCCCCAAAGGGACAGAAGACCUUGUUUUUGUUAAAGACAUUUUUAGACUUUUAGUUUGGGAUGAACACGAUCCAGGAAGGAGUGGACUAAAAGAUGGUCACCUGGCUGAAGGGCUGAGUUCCCAGGCAAAAAACUGCCAGAGUGCCCUAGUGACUAUCGGCGGGGGUGCUAGCCCAGCAAGAAAGCUGUGACACCCGGCCUUGCCAGGAAGGGGCACCUGUCGGCUCUGUCCCAGCCUCUCACACAGAUGUAUCCUGCAGCCAGCCCAGCUCAGGGAGCAGUGGGGACUUGUGAUCUCAUCCUGUCAAACCAAGCAACAUGGGUCUCAUUGAGGCUCAGAUGGAAGAUCCCAUGUAUUUCCUGGAGAUAGUCAGCCAGUGAGGCCAGUUUGCAGAACGUGGAAGAGCUGUUUGGUGAUGGGUUGGAGGAUUCACCAUGCAGCAGCUGCAGUGCCUGGGGUCCCCAUGGGCCAAGCCUCCACCCUUGACACCCUGACUUUGGUUUUAGCUGCUGGGCCUGCGUGCCUAGACAGAGGACUCAGGUAUGUCCAUCAAGAUGCUCAAUGGCAAAUGCAGUCAUCCACAGAAGUAAAGAAGAAUGAAAGGGAAAGAGCAAAACUGGACCAUCCGCUGAGCUGCUGCAAUCAAGUGAGCAGAGCUGGGGAGAGAAGAGGGAGAACUCGAAGGUGGCUGGUGGCAGUUUGGAGGAAAAGCAGUUUGGGAGCCAGGAGAGUAGAAAUAAAUAGUUAAUGAUGAAUACUGCAGGCUUUGUCUUGUGUGGGGAAGGGUUGAAAAUGGGUCUCUUUACUAUCACACUAAACUUUAAAAUAGCUGUCUAUGAUGAAAGGGCACGUCUAUAAAGGUAAGA